rnacentral:rRNA from 1 species
AUUGAACGCUGGCGGCAGGCUUAACACAUGCAAGUCGAGCGGGGGAAGGUGCUUCGGUGCUGACCUUAGCGGCGGACGGGUGAGUAAUGCUUAGGAAUCUGCCUAUUAGUGGGGGACAACAUCUCGAAAGGGGUGCUAAUACCGCAUACGUCCUACGGGAGAAAGCAGGGGAUCACUUGUGACCUUGCGCUAAUAGAUGAGCCUAAGUCGGAUUAGCUAGUUGGUGGGGUAAAGGCCUACCAAGGCGACGAUCUGUAGCGGGUCUGAGAGGAUGAUCCGCCACACUGGGACUGAGACACGGCCCAGACUCCUACGGGAGGCAGCAGUGGGGAAUAUUGGACAAUGGGGGGAACCCUGAUCCAGCCAUGCCGCGUGUGUGAAGAAGGCCUUAUGGUUGUAAAGCACUUUAAGCGAGGAGGAGGCUCUUUUGGUUAAUACCCAAGAUGAGUGGACGUUACUCGCAGAAUAAGCACCGGCUAACUCUGUGCCAGCCGCCGCGGUAA